UAUCUUAAUAUUCCUUUUUAUUAUUCUUAUAAAGUUAUAAUAGUAUGUGUGUGUGAGAGAGAUUGUGUGUGUGUGUGUUAUGUCUACUUGCCCGCCCUUGACUGUACAAGGGUGUGUGUGUGUGUGUGUGUGUUUUAGCACUCCUCAGCUCGUACACUUCUUUCGACUUUUUGACUAACAACCCAUAGUGUAUUACUCUUAAAGAUCUUUAAAGUGUUUUUCCAAUUUAUCCACAUCUGACUAAUACCGCUUCUGUAUGUCUAGGUGCCGGUGCCCGUCGUCAGUCCCUUCUCUCUCCGUUACUGGACCUGGAUCUGGAUCUGGAUCUGGACACUCAUUACCAGCUUGUGCAUCUCACUGCUGAUAUCAUGAUGCUACUUAACUAUCUUCGCAGCACCCCCUCUAGGAAUGGAGAUCCGGGGUUCCCCCCUCUUCUUCGAUACAGAAUCUGCCUACAGCAUCUACAGCAAUCUACAGCAAAUAUGCUGUCCGAAAGAACACGUUAACAUCAAGGGCAACAAGUGCUGAGAUUGUGACGGUGAUGAAAAGGUGGCUGCAGCUGGCUUCAGACCGUGGAGGAGGAUGGAAGAGGGGGUGCUGCGAAGAUAGUUAAGUAGCACCAUGAUAUCAGCAGUUAGAUGCGCAAGCUGAUAAUGAGUGUCCAGAUCCAGAUC